CCCCUAAAAACGCGAUCAUGGCGAAAACGGUGUUUUGAGUCCUGUGAAACUUGGUCGAUUUGGUGCCAUAGAGCAGAGCUAGCAUUGGGUAAAAUCUCGACGUACACCAAACAGAAGCUUCCUAUUGCUUAACCCAAGUAGCGCCCAGUGAAUAUCGGCAGAUCGUAAUGGGUCUUCACGUAGAAAGCAAAAGGAUGGUUGGCAAUGAAGUGUUUGCGACUGAAGGCAGCUACGGCCAUCACCCGCCAUACUGAGGAGGAACCAUGAAAACGAAGCAGACUUUUAGACAUUUGCUUUUAGACUUUAUUGAGGCUACGGCUACAUGCUUGACAAUGUAAAAGCUGAAUAUGCUCGUCAAGCCAGCAAUAUAGGACUGACCCGCUUGCACGUUAAAUGAAUACGAGACCCUCGAGUAACAUUGUGGAUUGGCUCACCCGUUGCGGCUGCAGCUUCAGUGCCCACUUCGUUAAUCUCGAUAAAUGCUUUGUGGACGAUCUGGGAGACAAAAAGGCUUUCCUCGGAUUGUAGCAUUCCCCCAAGCUCUGCCUGACCACUGAAUAUUCGGUUCAUGCCCAUCUCUAACCAGCAUUAAAACCUGGGAUAGUUCUUGCUGGAACUCGGCUGUAAAGCUAGGAAUCUUCACAUCCACUUUUUCCAGAUUCAUUGCUGAUGACACUACCUCUAGGGAAAUAUCACUAAGUUUCUUUUCGAGGCUCGUGAGAUUCGACUUCUCAUCAGGAAGUAAAAUGAUCAUGGCCAAAUUACAGGCACUAUAAUUCAUUCUAAGGGCAGUGGCUUCGAACAUGGG
rnacentral:lncRNA from 1 species